AGCUUCACAGGGUGGAAAUACAGAGAGAAAGGACUGGCUCUCUUCCUCUUCUUAUAAGGUGCUAAUUGCAUCAUUAGGUUUCCACUUUCAAGCCCUGAUUAUCUUCCAGAGGCCUCUCUUCCAAAUACACCAGAGUAGAGAUUCAAUAUAUGAAUUCAGGGGGGUACGCACAUAGCAGGUCAAGGGUAAAAAUGAUUCUUGGGAACAAAUAAUCUUUAUGUGUAAAACACAUAUAUACAUACAAUAUAGAAACAUAUGCAGUGUGUAUGUUGUGUUAAAAUGUAAUGGGUGGCAAUUUAAUAUCUCUAAAGAGGCUCCUUAAGGGUUAGUCAUUUUUUUAAAGUUGAAGAAGUUCUGCCAUUGGUAUUAUUUUUCUUAUUAAAUAGAUGUAAACACGUAGGUUGGGAGGGAGGUUAAAUAAUGUGCCCAAGAACAGCAAAUGCUUAUUAGUUGGGAGAGCCUUGACUCAGGUGCUGGUCUCUGUGGUCCAGGGCAUGUGCUUUGAUGCUACAGGCUGCCUCUUUGAGGCUUGCUCUGAGGGUGAGGAAACCACUCUCGGACCAUCCACCUUUUUCCAGGUACUUACCUGCUUCUCUUUCUCUCAAAUUCUUCUGUGCUGGCCUGGGAGCUUCUAAAUUGCUGUUUUGCCCACUAGGAUCUGAGAUCCCACCUCCUCAUUCCAUUGUGAGCCAGAACAUUCUCCUGGAGAAAUUUUGGCUCCUGGCUUGGAAGCAUGGGUAUUUGCAGUUUUAAUAUCAUGCUGAGAAAUUACCCAAAAUUACUGGCUCUUUCCCAGUGGGGUUUCAGAGUCUCUUCCAGGCCAUUGGGAAGUUGGGAAGCCUGGGCUUUGCUGAUCCACACAAUCCUAACAGAAAUGCCUGUUUCUGACCAAAGUCUGGUAUGCAGUGUCCCUUCCUCUGACCCUCUUACUGGAAUCUCCUGCUGUUAUUUUAUAAACUAGGCUCUACACCUGAGUUUUUCUGUGAGGCAGUUCCAGGAACAUUCAAUCUUUGAAACACAUUUAAUAGUUAACUGAGGCAGCCACGAGAAAGUUUGCAGUCGCUUCAAAAGGUUGUUGCUUUGGAAGAAUUGAAUAGACAGUCUCAGCUUUUUAACCAGGGUUUCCAAGAUCAAUUUAUCAGGAAUGAGUGGAUUUUCUUUCUCAUCUUCCCAGAGGGCCCAAGGAAAAUGAGGAAUACACAUGAUAAUAGCAAAUCAAUCAAAUUUACAUUUAAACACUUCCUUCACUAGAGCACCCUGGAGGGGCCUGCUUAGAUACUCAGAUGCUCACAGCUUACUCCUCCCUGCUUCAAAUAUAGCCCCCCCCCCCUCAGGUCAGACCUGGGAAGGGUAGGCUUCAGCUUCUCCAGAGACUCCAGUGCUUCAACCUGAGGUAUCAGGGCCUGACUUGGGCACUCUCUGCAGAGGCAGGUGCCAAGAGACAGUCCCUCAGCAGGUGGUCUCUGACUCUCCAGAGAAAACAAGAACUGCUCAGAGCCAUUGUUCAAAGGAAGAAAAUGGGUACCCCCUCUAUUUUCAGUGCCCAAACUCACACAGAUGGGUAAGUACUUUGCUUGCUUUGGAUGCCUAUGAAAAUCAGGGUUAUUUUCUUAGAACCGGAAGUAGAUAGGUCUCUCUCUUUUGAUAGAAUAACAAACUCCCAUGCCUCUGCUCCCCAGCUUUAAAAUAGAGAUCCUAAGAAUACCCACCUAUAUUAGUUUUCAGGGGCUGCUCUACUAAAAUACCUCCAACUAGGUGACUUAAGCAAUAGACAUUUAUGGUGUCACAGUUCUGGAGGCUUGACAUCUUAGAUCAAGGUGUUUGGCAGGUGGUUCCUUCUGAGGUCUUUUGGAGGUUUAGUGGCAAUCUUUGGCAUUUCUGAUCCCUGCCUUUAUCUUCACAUGGUUUUAUCCCCUAGGGCAUGUCUCCAUCUAACUCUCCCCUUUUUAUAAGAACACAUGCCAUAUUGGAUUAGGGGCCCAUUCUACUCUGUAUAUCCUCAUCUCAACCUCAUCUCCAAUAUGAAGUCAUCUGCAAUGGCCCUAUUUACAAAUCAGGUCAUAAUCUUAGGUACUAGUGUUUAGAAUUUUAACAUGAAUUUGGGGAGGGACACAGUUUAACCUGUAACACUACCUCGUAGGGUACUGUGUGGAUUAAAUGACUGGUGUAUAAAGUGUUGUAUGAGGGUUUGCUUUAAUUAUUACUGGUAAGUAGACAUGUGAAGGAAUUACAAUGUAAAUAAUUAUUAUUACUACCCGAGGCCCUACUAUGUGUCGGGGACUAUAUUGUUAUACUUCUUUCUAUUCCUUAUAGAAAUUUUCAAAGUACAUUCUUUAUCUCCAGCACUCCCAGUUUAUAAAUGGAUAAACUGAAGCUUAGGGAGGGGAAGUGAUUUUGAUGUGGCUGAAGACUUCCAACUUGUUUGAUGGUAAACAAGGCUGUAAUUUCAAACUGAUUGUGCAAUACGUUUGUUUUAUUUAUUAUUAUUAUUUUUUGCUUUUUAGGGCCCCUGCAGCAUAUGGAAGUUCCCAGGCUAGGGGUCAAAUUGGAGCUGCAGCUUCCCACCUAUGCCACAGGCACAGCCUGGGAUUCGAACCAUGUCUGCGACCUGUGCCGCAGCUGACGGUAAUGCUGGAUCCUUAUCCCCCGCUGAGUGAGGCCAGCGAUCAAACCUGAAUCCUCAUGGAUACUAGUCAGGUUUGCAACCUGUUGAGCCACAAUGGGAACUCCUGCAACACUUUAAAUAAUGAAAGAAUAUUUCAAAAAUUUGUAACUUGUUACUUGCUUUCUAUGUAAAUGUGAUUUUUCAUGUAAUGUAUUACAUUUGCAUAAUCAAGGUUCUGCCACAAUUUUCUAGAUAGGAAGGUCAGCCAUGUCAUAAAAACUGUUAAUUAAACAGACAUAAAACAGUCAUUUUGAUCUUGUCAAUAACUUUUUAAAAAUAGUGAUGGUUUCCCAAUUUAGUUAACAUUCAGUGAACAGGGUCUCUGAUACCAUGCUAGGAAUCACUAGACCAACAGAACCUGUUUUCUGCCUUUGGCGAGCUUGUGGUUGGAUUCCUGAGUAUACUGAAGGGAUGGGCCAUUGGCUAGCCUUGGACUUGGCUAGGCUGAGUGCACUGGGGCUGGAACACGGUGAGGAAGAGUCAAGUGGUAUCUGGGGGGGAGGGUGUAGAGGGGCAUGUGGAGUCAGUGAAUUACUUCGAAUAUUCUUAUUUUCAAAAUGUUAGGAGAGGUGAGGGCCCAUUUCAGCUGCACCUUUAGGUUCAUGGAAGAGGCCAGUCAACAAAGCUUAAAGGUUUUGAGAUGUGCUUACUUAUCUCAACGCUUGCUUGAUUUUCUAGAAAUAUGAUAGAAGUUAAACGGUUUUAUAGGAUUAGAAUUUAUCGGAGAAACAGUAUAAGUAGAAAAAGUAAAACACGUUUUCUUCUCUUAGGACCAAGUCUCAUGGUUAUCAGAUUAGAAUGAAUAGAAGUUAUUUAGAGGGCACUUAACACCCAGUCACCCACCAGGACUCCUGACAAAAAUGAAUGUUUCUGGAUAUGGGAAUGCUGGGUUUCGUGCCACAUGCAAAAAAUGAAUAUGGCAUGGCCCUUGCUUUAGAAGAGUGCAUAGUCUAGUUGGAGAAGAUAGAUAACUCCAGACCGUCUUCCUCACUUGUCUGAAUAUGAAGUACUUCCUGCUCUUGGAUGAAUUAUGUUGAUGCUGAUUAACGAUAAUGGAAUAAUAUUACUUUGCAUCUGUAGGAUGCUUUUAACUUUUCAAAGUGCUUUCUCAUACGAUUUUUCCUGCCAGACUGUCGGACAAACACGGAGAUAGAUGAGGGCUGAGCUAAGACCAGGACUGGCAUGGGACUUCCAGGAGCCUGGCUGCCACUCUUCUGAGGAGAAUGGCCUUUCCUUGCCAUUCCUUCUACCCUUCCUCUCCAUUUCCCACACUGUGCUGUCAUUGUUCUGGUCUUCUUGCUGUUGCCUUGGAGUUUUCCACAUAUCAUGCUGCGCUCUUUGGAGCAAAAAGCUAUUACAGAAAUCUAAUAAAUAAUAAAUUUCAGUGCUCAGACAGAUCAAUAAAAUGCAUGAUAAGAAGAGGCUAUUAUGGCGAAUGAAAAAUGCACUAGAGAAUGCCCACAGCAUGAGUCAACCUUCAGCUGGGAGAAGCUGAGUCUCUUAAAACACCAAAGACCAAGUAGACCAUCUUGGGGCAUUUUGAAGCAUUUGUUUCUAGUUCAUUUACAGAAGUUUGUUGAAGAUCUAUCUCCUGCCAGGCUUGGUGCUGGGUGCUGGAUGUGCAAAAACAUUCUGUAUCCAGGAACUCAACAAUUUAGCCAAGGAGAAGGGCGAUGCAGCCAUAGCUAAUUGUAAUGCAAUGCCAUUGCCUCUGUAGACAAUAAACAAAGCUCUCUGGAGGAAUCAGAAGGGGAAAAAUACAACUAUGCAGAGUACAGGGCAGAGAGGCUUUCAUAAAAGUUAUGACUUUGGAUUUCAACUGGAAAGGAUGGAUGGCAUUUUUUGUGGUGAAAAAGUAGAAAUAAUUGUGCGACAGAAUAUUUGCUAAGGGCAGGAAAUAGCAUCAGCACAAGUACUGGACUGUAUACAUACUGACACAUCUAGGGAUGUUUUUGGUCCAUUCUUUUUAUCAAAGCAUUUAGUCUUUCUCAAUCCGGGGCAGUGUAGAUAACCAGCCUUCUCUUCCUAUCUUCCCUGCUCCAGUAUUCUGGAUUUUUGCUGUUUAUGAAACUAUAAGGCCCAGCAAGCAAGAAAUAAGUAUAGGAGCAAGGAGACUUGGUCUCAAGAGUGUUGGCAGAGCUGUCCUGGGUCACAGGCUAUUUCCUGAGGUUCUCAGAUUGGGCCAGUAGAAGGCAGAAUCUGAAGGAAAUUGUCCAGCCUUAUUAUCACCGGGGUCACAUGGAGAGAACAUAGAAGGGGCAUUUGCCUCAAUGAUGCUCUUUUUUUCUAACUUCCCAGUUACUAGAUAUGUGAUCCAAGGCAGGAUUCUUGAACUUGAUCUAUCAGUAACCCUAAUCUUCCAUAGCGGAGGAAGAGAGGAUGUGAAGACACGAGUCUUGAAUUCUCCUAGAAGCAAAGUCGUCUCCAGUCACAACUUUGUUAUGAAAUCUGAUGCAGGGCUGAGAUGACAUGUGAAAAAGGCCCUGUGCUAAUAGAAGUUUCUCUUAUCAACACCUUAGUCUUUUUCUUCCGGAUUCUCUCUCUCUCUUUUUUUUAAUCUUCCUAUGCUUUGUUCCCACCUUUCAGACACAAGUUUUUAUCCUUUGUCUCAUUGCGCUUUAUCCCUAUUGAGGUGGCCAUUGAUAAAUUAAUUCUGGGGGAAAAUUAUGUAUACUUUGAAGUCACAAGUGGGUUUAGAUGAACUAUUACUUGCUUAGCUACAUGACCUUUGGAAAGUUAUUGGGUCUUAGUUUCCUUGAAUCUGCAUGGUAAAAAAAAAAAAAAAA
rnacentral:lncRNA from 1 species